CACGACCCCUGGUCAGGUGGGGUUACCCAUUGAAUUUAA
rnacentral:rRNA from 1 species